ACAGUAGAGUGUUUAUAUGUUUACAUACUCAUAUUACCUGUUUAAUAAUUGAAAGAUUAUUUGGCUAACUGAUUUUUCUUGCUACGUCCCCAUCUCCUUCUCUGGAUUGAGCUGUUGUUCAGCGGCUAUGUGAAUUAAAAAUCUACUCGGGGAGCUGCUGCUGUUCACUGAGGACAAAUGGUCAGAGCCAGAGAUACCAGGACCAUCUCUUCUGUCCCUCUCAAUACAGUUUUGUAAAGAAUUAAAUGUUGUCUGUUUUGCCUGAAUAAAUUGUUGAUUGAGUUGUUUUUCACCAAAUUCAAAAUAUAUUAACACAAUAAAUGAG